CAAGAUAAUAACCAAAAACUGCAACAUUUCCUUAAAAUUACUAAUUCUGGGGCAGCAACCCAACAACAGGGUGUCUGUUUUGUCUGAAAAUAUCAGGGCAGAUAGAUCUUGACCUGAUAAACAAUUUAUCCCUUGUCAAAUUUGCUCUAAAUACUUUGGUUUCAGAGAUAUAAGCCAAAAUCUACAUUUUACCCCUAUGUUCUAUUUUUAGCCAUGGCGGCCAUUUUGGUUGGUUGGCAGGAUCACGCCACACAUUUUUUAAACUAGAUACCCUAAUGAUGAUUUUAGCCAAGUUUGGAUUAAUUUGGCCCAAUAGUUUCAGAGAAGAAGAUUUUUGUAAAAGAUAACUAAGAUUUACG
rnacentral:lncRNA from 1 species